CAUGCAACCAUUCACUAUAUUCCAACUGUGUCCUCACAAACAUCCAUGAUCAACUCCUCCAGCUGAGAUGCCUAGAUCCUACUAUGCCUUAGCACCAGACAUCUUCAGAGUUGUAAUCAUUCUGGCUCCUUUCCAUCAUAAUGUCCACCCUCUCGUAGACCCAUCAAAACAGCUCCCCUGCAUCCACCAGGUUGUCCACAUGGACCAUGCCCUUCUCUAGUGUUGAUAGUCCAAAGAGUUACUCUAACUUGCUUUCUCAAAGGUCACCAUAUCCAGCGGCCUCUCUGUUCUUCAUAGCUCACUUAACUUUCCCAGCGCGUAUGACUACUUCCCACCUUGUUCCUCUGGCCAUUCUUCCACCCAUACUCCCAAAUGAGCCAUUCCUGAUUACAAUUACCCCUGGGGUAAUUGGGUGGUUAAGAAGCACAGAAGUGUUCUUUACAUUCAAGCCUUUAUGUUCAAGGCAAGCACCUGAUCUGGUGCCUCUCUAUGGCCCCUUCCCCCACUACUGUAACAAAGACUUGGUAACCAAUGACAGUCAAAAAGCAAUGAAGGAGGCUGGGGUUGUGUCUCAGUGGUAGAGCACUUGCCUAGCAUGUGAGGCACUGGGUUCAGUUCUCAGCACCACUUAAAAAUAAAUAAAUAAAUAAACAAAAGUCCAUCAACAUCUUAAAAGGGGGGGGGGGGCGCGCGCAACGAAGGAACCUUCAGGAUUAGUCAGGCUGUAGGGGAACAUCAUUGGGGGAUCUGAAAAUCACACCACAUGCAGCCAUGUGGCUGGCCCUGCUGGUGAUUGAGGUGGAGUUGCUGGUCCUUUUUCUGGUCAUUGAACUCAGCUCUUCUCUGGCUUGAUCUAUCACCUGGGUAAGGUUGCAGACAGCUGCAACACUGCAAAGAUGGG
rnacentral:lncRNA from 1 species